AUAAGAGCGUUCAGACUGGUCCAA
rnacentral:piRNA from 1 species